AUCACUAAGCGGAGGAAAAGAAACUAACUAGGAUUCCCCCAGUAACUGCGAGUGAAGAGGGAAGAGCUCAUCAUUGGAAUCUGGCAGCGUUGCGCUGUCCGAGUUGUAGAUGAGAAGAGUAGGCCAUCUGGGCUGCAUGGUGUCCAAGUACAAUAGGCCGUCAGUGGGACAUCAUAGAGGGUGACAAUCCCGUCCUUGACACCAAUGUACGAGUCCUUUACGAUGCCUAUCUCGGAGAGUCGAGCAGUUUGGGAUUUGCUGCUUAAACAUGGGAGGUAGAUUCCUUCCAAAGCUAAAUACAGGCAAGAGACCGAUAGAGAACAAGUACCGCAAGGGAAAGAUGAAAUAGAACUCUGUGAAGGGAGUCAAAAGACGUGAAAUUGUUGCGAGAGAAGCGAUUCAAGUCAGCGUAGCUGGGCCCAUCAAGCCUCGCGCUUUGGACCAGCUUUGCCAGCGGUCUUGUCCCUAGAGACUUGACUAAGGUGCCCUGCCCGGUCUAACGGGCAGACCUCCCCUGGAGGCCAGUGGCAUGGCUGGUGGAAUGGCUUGCAAUCGACCCGUCUUGAAACACGGACCAAGGAGUCUAACAUGCAUGCGAGUAUAAGGGUGGCAAACCCGUAUGCGCAAAGAAAGUGAUAGCCUUUUAUGGCCGAGAAUGACCUGAUGACCAGACAAGCAAUAUUAUGUCCCUCGUACGGUCAUUGCCCAAGUCCCAUGGUCAGAUCCCAUGGACAUGGAGUUGGAGCGUGCAUGCUAGGACCCGAAAGAUGGUGAACUAUGCCUGGACAAAGCGAAGCCAAAGGAAACUCUGGUGGAGGCUUGUAGCGAUUCUGACGUGCAAAUCGAUCGUCUGAUCUGGGUAUAGGGGCGAAAGACUAAUCGAACCAUCUCAUAGCUGGUUC
rnacentral:rRNA from 1 species